UACGUAGGGGGCAAGCGUUGUUCGGAUUUAUUGGGCGUAAAGAGCGUGUAGGCGGCCAGGUAGGUCUGCUGUGAAAACUCGAGGCUUAACCUCGAGCUGUCGGCGGAAACCAUUUGGCUAGAGUCCGGAAGAGGAGAAUGGAAUUCCCGGUGUAGCGGUGAAAUGCGCAGAUAUCGGGAAGAACACCCGUGGCGAAGGCGGUUCUCUGGGACGGUACUGACGCUGAGACGCGAAAGCGUGGGGAGCGAACAGG
rnacentral:rRNA from 1 species